GAUGAACGCUGGCGGCGUGCCUAAUACAUGCAAGUCGAGCGAAUGGAUUAAGAGCUUGCUCUUAUGAAGUUAGCGGCGGACGGGUGAGUAACACGUGGGUAACCUGCCCAUAAGACUGGGAUAACUCCGGGAAACCGGGGCUAAUACCGGAUAACAUUUUGAACUGCAUGGUUCGAAAUUGAAAGGCGGCUUCGGCUGUCACUUAUGGAUGGACCCGCGUCGCAUUAGCUAGUUGGUGAGGUAACGGCUCACCAAGGCAACGAUACGUAGCCGACCUGAGAGGGGGAUCGGCCACACUGGGACUGAGACACGGCCCAGACUCCUACGGGAGGCAGCAGUAGGGAAUCUUCCGCAAUGGACGAAAGUCUGACGGAGCAACGCCGCGUGAGUGAUGAAGGCUUUCGGGUCGUAAAACUCUGUUGUUAGGGAAGAACAAGUGCUAGUUGAAUAAGCUGGCACCUUGACGGUACCUAACCAGAAAGCCACGGCUAACUACGUGCCAGCCGCCGCAGUAA
rnacentral:rRNA from 1 species